rnacentral:rRNA from 1 species
UACGGAGGGGGCUAGCGUUGUUCGGAAUUACUGGGCGUAAAGCGCACGUAGGCGGCCAUUCAAGUCAGAGGUGAAAGCCCAGAGCUCAACUUUGGAAUUGCCUUUGAAACUAGAUGGCUUGAACACGGGAGAGGUGAGUGGAAUUCCGAGUGUAGAGGUGAAAUUCGUAGAUAUUCGGAAGAACACCAGUGGCGAAGGCGGCUCACUGGACCGUUGUUGACGCUGAGGUGCGAAAGCGUGGGGAGCAAACAGG